ensembl:lncRNA
AGCAAGUCCAGAGGAGAUCACGAAGUUGAUCAAAAGGAUGGAGCACCUCUCCUUAUGAAGAAAGGCUGAGGGAGCUGGACUUCUUCAGCCUGGAGAAGACAUUGGGGAGACCUCAUUGCAGCUUUCCCACAGUUGAAAUACUUACAAGCAAGAGAUCAACUUUUUACAUUGUCUCCAAGUGAUGAGACAAGGGGGAAUAGUUUUAAACUAAAAGAAGGGAGAUUUGGCUUAGAUGUCUGAGUAAUUUACUGAGAGGGCGGUGAGGCCCUGGCAUAGCUGCCCAGAGAAGCUGUGGUGCCCUACCCCUGGAGGUGCUUAAGGCCAGGUUGGAUGGGGCCCUGGGCAGCUGAGCUGGUGGGGGGCAGCCCAGUGCAGAGUGGAACUGAGUGGGCUUUAAGAUCCCUUUCAACCCCAACUAUUCUAGGAUUCUAUGAUUGUAAUUAUGAAAUUGUUUCAGAAAGUUGUAGUGAAACCUGUAAGGUAAACUUGAUUAUACACCAAAUGUAUAAUGCAUGAGAGCUGCUCAGAAAGUAAUGCCUCCUAUUUUAUUAUGUUGACCCAUGGUGACAGAGGCAGAUGGUGGUGGUAUGGCAGUAGAGAUCGAAUCUUCUGGGCAAUAUUUUGUUGCCAUAUGAGAGAUGAUAGCAGAGGGGCAGUCUGACAGAAUGGUGUCUGACGUGGAAGUGGGAGUGAAGCAAAGCUGUGUCAUUGAAUUCCUCCAUGUGGAAACAGUGGCACCCACUGACUUUCAUCGACUCUUGCUGAAUGUGUAUGGAGACCAAACAGUGGAUGUGAGUAGAGUUGAGGCAAUGGGUGGUUUCAUCAGUGGCCACAGGGGGUCACUUCUGCUGGAGCAGAUUUUUACAAGCCUGCAUGCUGCACUCUUGCUCACAGCUAGGAAAAACACAUAGCUAAUGGUGGUGAUUGUAUUGAAAAAGUGUUUUGUAGCUGAGAAUGUGCUCUAUCAAAUAGUAUUUAUCUUUGUAUCUGUUGUAGUUUCCAUGGAAAUAAGAGGCACUACUUUCAGAGCAACCUAUGUAAUCUUUUUCUUUAAUGCUUAGUUUGAAGGAAGCGUGAAGUGUUUCAUACUGUGAUUUUUUUUGACUUGCGAGUUUUAGUCUAACCAGCGUCCUAAAUUAACUUAACAUGUGACUUCGUACUCUUGAAAGAUAAAUUUGUUACAAUAGUUUGCACAGAUGUCAGAUCUUUGCUGCUAACAGCUAGUUCCAUUGUUGUUUGUUUUUUUCUAGUAAAUGGGGAUAUGAAGAAUUGCCUUAAGCACUUUAGAUUUUUUUUUUAGACUCUUUUUUGAGCUAGUCUCUGUUUUGACUUGAGUACCAGUAUAUUAGUGAUACAGUUGGUGCACUGUUUGUACAAGGUAUAUUAAUAAUAUCUGUUAAGAACUUGCUCUGCGGGUAAAGAGAGAUGCACGCAGCCUUUGGAGCUGCUUUUUCCCAGAAGAAGCUUCAGGGAUUGGAGGGGCAGUUCUCUGGUGGGGAUUAUCUUCUGUCCAACGCAGUAACACAGCUGGUGACUUCAGUACUGAGCCUCCCUGCUCUGGAGCCAGAGACUGUUUGGUGGCAAGUCAGGGGAGAUCUUCUAAAUGACCAAAUUGAGAUUUUGCUAUUACUUAGUUAAGCAGUUACUGGCAGUAUUUCAGAGUUAAAAUAUCUUCAGCAUAACUUGUAAGGAACUGGAGGUUUCCCCUGAAUGAACUUAGCAGGUUAUCUUCAUUUCUGUAACAAGCUGUGUGAACUUAGGAAUGCAGCCUGCAGAAAGGAUGAUGUACAAGCAUCCAGCUGAUAGGCGUUCCUUUAAAUACCAAAUUGAGAAGGCAGAGAGGGACUUGUCUUUCUUUCCUCGUCGCUUUUUCUCCUCAGAGAACGGCAUGAAGCUAUUGCACAAACCUCCUUCGCUGCUUCUCGUAUUCAGACAGCGGAGGCACGCCACCCCGAGCUCGGCAGGGCGCCUUCUGCUGUCUCUCACGUGUGUG